AGGUCAAGGUAUUAAGGGUAUGCGGUGGAUGCCUUGGCGGCAGAAGGCGAUGAAGGGCGUGGUAAGCUGCGAUAAGCCUCGGGGAGCCGCAAACAGGCUUUGAUCCGGGGAUUCCCGAAUGGGGAAACCUGGCUGGUUGUUGAAACCAGUCGCCGAAAGGCGCGAACCGGGGGAAGUGAAAAAUCUCAGUACCCCGAGGAAAAGAAAUCAAAUGAGAUUCCCUUAGUAGCGCGAGCGAACGGGGAACAGCCCAAACCAGUGUGAUGUCAAGCUCGUGGGCGUUGUCACACUGGGGUUGCGGGGCGCGGUCGGGCGAAGCCACGAAUUCGCCGGGAAGUUACAAAUCUUCUUCUUAGUCGAAGUGCUUGGGAUGGCACGCCAUAGAGGGUGACAGCCCCAUAGACGAAAAGGAGAAGACUUCCUGGGCCGCGUCCCCGAGUACCGCGGGACACGUGGAACCCUGCGGGAAGCUGGGGGGACCACCCUCCAAGGCUAAAUACUCUCUGCCGUCCGAUAGUGCACGAGUACCGUGAGGGAAAGGUGAAAAGAACCCCGGGAGGGGAGUGAAAUAGAACCUGAAACCGCAUACCUACAAUAAGUCGGAGCCCGUAAGGGUGACGGCGUGCCUUUUGAUUAAUGAGUCCGCGAGUUGUCGUCAGUGGCAAGGUUAAGCCGAGCGAGGUGUAGCCGUAGCGAAAGCGAGUCUGAAUAGGGCGUUAGUCACUGGCGGCAGGCCCGAAACCGGGUGAGCUACCCCUGGGCAGGAUGAAGGUGGGGUAAAACCCACUGGAGGUCCGAACCGAUGGGCAGUGAAACGUCCUCGGAUGACCUGGGGGUAGGAGUGAAAAGCUAACCGAACCCGGUGAUAGCUGGUUCUCCCCGAAACGCAUUGAGGUGCGGCCUCGAGUGGUCUGUACAGGGGGUAGAGCACUGAUAGGGCUAGGGGGGUAACCUCCAACCCCUGUCAAACUCCGAAUCCCUGUACACAAAGCUCGGGAGAGAGCCCAUGGGGGAUAAGCUCCAUGGACAAAAGGGGAACAACCCAGACCAUCGGCUAAGGGCCCAGAGAGAUGGCUAAGUGGGAAAGGAUGUGGUACGCCUAUGACAACUGGGAGGUUGGCUUAGAAGCAGCCACCCUUCAAAGAGUGCGUAACAGCUCACCAGUCGAGGCGUGCUGCGCCGAAAAUGUAACGGGGCUCAAGCCAUCCCCCGAAGCCAUGGGUCUGUGCUUAGCACAGGCGGUAGGGGAGCUUUCCACUGUAGGGUGAAGGUAGACCCGCGAGGGCUACUGGACGAGGUGGAAGUGAGAAUGCGGACAUGAGUAUGCGAGAGGAGAGUGAGAAUCUCUCCCCCCGAAAGCCCAAGGAUACCUGGGGAAGGGUCGUCCGCCCAGGGUUAGCCGGUGCCUAAGGUGAACCCGAAAGGGGUAACCGAAGGGAAGCUGGUUAAUAUUCCAGCGCCAUCCGUAAUCGAGGUGCAAGGGGUGACGCAGAAGGGUAGACACCGAGGGUAAGUGGCAUUCCCUUCCAAGCGGUUAGGGCGAUGAUAGGUGUAGGAAAAUCCGCACCUGGAGUCUGAGCCGUGAUGGGGAGGACCUUCGGGUCCAACGGUGUUGACCCCACGCUGCCAGGAAAAACCUCGUGUACCAUUUGAGAUUGCGGGUGACCGUUCCGCAAACCGACACAGGUGGGCAAGCUGAGAAAGCUAAGGGGAGCGGGAUAACCCUCGCCAAGGAACUCGGCAAAUUAACCCCGUAACUUCGGGAGAAGGGGUGCCGCGUUAGGGUGAACUCAGGGGAAAGGGCAACCUGGAAACUGAGGAAGCCCGAGG
rnacentral:rRNA from 1 species